GGUCAAGUGAAGAAGCGCAUACGGUGGAUGCCUUGGCAGUCAGAGGCGAUGAAAGACGUGGUAGCCUGCGAUAAGCUUCGGGGAGUCGGCAAACAGACUUUGAUCCGGAGAUCUCUGAAUGGGGGAACCCACCUGGCAUAAGUCAGGUAUCUUGUACUGAAUACAUAGGUGCAAGAGGCGAACCAGGGGAACUGAAACAUCUAAGUACCCUGAGGAAAAGAAAUCAACCGAGAUUCCCUUAGUAGUGGCGAGCGAACGGGGACUAGCCCUUAAGUGGCUUUGAGAUUAGCGGAACGCUCUGGAAAGUGCGGCCAUAGUGGGUGAUAGCCCUGUACGCGAAAAUCUCUUAGUCAUGAAAUCGAGUAGGACGGAGCACGAGAAACUUUGUCUGAAUAUGGGGGGACCAUCCUCCAAGGCUAAAUACUACUGACUGACCGAUAGUGAACCAGUACCGUGAGGGAAAGGCGAAAAGAACCCCGGAGAGGGGAGUGAAAUAGAUCCUGAAACCGUAUGCGUACAAGCAGUGGGAGCCUACUUUGUUAGGUGACUGCGUACCUUUUGUAUAAUGGGUCAGCGACUUAUAUUCAGUGGCGAGCUUAACCGAAUAGGGGAGGCGUAGCGAAAGCGAGUCUUAAUAGGGCGUUUAGUCGCUGGGUAUAGACCCGAAACCGGGCGAUCUAUCCAUGGGCAGGUUGAAGGUUAGGUAACACUGACUGGAGGACCGAACCGACUACCGUUGAAAAGUUAGCGGAUGACCUGUGGAUCGGAGUGAAAGGCUAAUCAAGCUCGGAGAUAGCUGGUUCUCCUCGAAAGCUAUUUAGGUAGCGCCUCAUGUAUCACUGUAGGGGGUAGAGCACUGUUUCGGCUAGGGGGUCAUCCCGACUUACCAAACCGAUGCAAACUCCGAAUACCUACAAGUGCCGAGCAUGGGAGACACACGGCGGGUGCUAACGUCCGUCGUGAAAAGGGAAACAACCCAGACCGUCAGCUAAGGUCCCAAAGUUAUGGUUAAGUGGGAAACGAUGUGGGAAGGCUUAGACAGCUAGGAGGUUGGCUUAGAAGCAGCCACCCUUUAAAGAAAGCGUAAUAGCUCACUAGUCGAGUCGGCCUGCGCGGAAGAUGUAACGGGGCUCAAACCAUACACCGAAGCUACGGGUAUCACUUAGGUGAUGCGGUAGAGGAGCGUUCUGUAAGCCUGUGAAGGUGAGUUGAGAAGCUUGCUGGAGGUAUCAGAAGUGCGAAUGCUGACAUGAGUAACGACAAUGGGAGUGAAAAACUCCCACGCCGAAAGACCAAGGUUUCCUGCGCAACGUUAAUCGACGCAGGGUUAGUCGGUCCCUAAGGCGAGGCUGAAAAGCGUAGUCGAUGGAAAACAGGUUAAUAUUCCUGUACUUCUGGUUAUUGCGAUGGAGGGACGGAGAAGGCUAGGCCAGCUUGGCGUUGGUUGUCCAAGUUUAAGGUGGUAGGCUGAGAUCUUAGGUAAAUCCGGGAUCUUAAGGCCGAGAGCUGAUGACGAGUUGCCAUUAGGCGACGAAGUGGUUGAUGCCAUGCUUCCAAGAAAAGCUUCUAAGCUUCAGGUAACCAGGAACCGUACCCCAAACCGACACAGGUGGUUGGGUAGAGAAUACCAAGGCGCUUGAGAGAACUCGGGUGAAGGAACUAGGCAAAAUGGCACCGUAACUUCGGGAGAAGGUGCGCCGGUGAGGGUGAAGGACUUGCUCCGUAAGCUCAUGCCGGUCGAAGAUACCAGGCCGCUGCGACUGUUUAUUAAAAACACAGCACUCUGCAAACACGAAAGUGGACGUAUAGGGUGUGACGCCUGCCCGGUGCCGGAAGGUUAAUUGAUGGGGUUAGCUAACGCGAAGCUCUUGAUCGAAGCCCCGGUAAACGGCGGCCGUAACUAUAACGGUCCUAAGGUAGCGAAAUUCCUUGUCGGGUAAGUUCCGACCUGCACGAAUGGCGUAACGAUGGCGGCGCUGUCUCCACCCGAGACUCAGUGAAAUUGAAAUCGCUGUGAAGAUGCAGUGUAUCCGCGGCUAGACGGAAAGACCCCGUGAACCUUUACUAUAGCUUUGCACUGGACUUUGAAUUUGCUUGUGUAGGAUAGGUGGGAGGCUUUGAAGCGUGGACGCCAGUCUGCGUGGAGCCAUCCUUGAAAUACCACCCUGGCAACUUUGAGGUUCUAACUCAGGUCCGUUAUCCGGAUCGAGGACAGUGUAUGGUGGGUAGUUUGACUGGGGCGGUCUCCUCCUAAAGAGUAACGGAGGAGUACGAAGGUGCGCUCAGACCGGUCGGAAAUCGGUCGUAGAGUAUAAAGGCAAAAGCGCGCUUGACUGCGAGACAGACACGUCGAGCAGGUACGAAAGUAGGUCUUAGUGAUCCGGUGGUUCUGUAUGGAAGGGCCAUCGCUCAACGGAUAAAAGGUACUCCGGGGAUAACAGGCUGAUACCGCCCAAGAGUUCAUAUCGACGGCGGUGUUUGGCACCUCGAUGUCGGCUCAUCACAUCCUGGGGCUGAAGCCGGUCCCAAGGGUAUGGCUGUUCGCCAUUUAAAGUGGUACGCGAGCUGGGUUUAGAACGUCGUGAGACAGUUCGGUCCCUAUCUGCCGUGGACGUUUGAGAUUUGAGAGGGGCUGCUCCUAGUACGAGAGGACCGGAGUGGACGAACCUCUGGUGUUCCGGUUGUCACGCCAGUGGCAUUGCCGGGUAGCUAUGUUCGGAAGAGAUAACCGCUGAAAGCAUCUAAGCGGGAAACUUGCCUCAAGAUGAGAUCUCACUGGAGCCUUGAGCUCCCUGAAGGGCCGUCGAAGACUACGACGUUGAUAGGUUGGGUGUGUAAGCGCUGUGAGGCGUUGAGCUAACCAAUACUAAUUGCCCGUGAGGCUUGACCAU
rfam:Pseudomonas putida strain TASWS0946 Contig88, whole genome shotgun sequence.